UACGUAGGGUGCAAGCGUUGUCCGGAAUUAUUGGGCGUAAAGAGCUCGUAGGCGGUUUGUCGCGUCGGCCGUGAAAUCUCCACGCUUAACGUGGAGCGUGCGGUCGAUACGGGCAGACUUGAGUUCGGUAGGGGAGACUGGAAUUCCUGGUGUAGCGGUGAAAUGCGCAGAUAUCAGGAGGAACACCAAUGGCGAAGGCAGCUCGCUGGGACGGUACUGACGCUGAGACGCGAAAGCGUGGGGAGCAAACAGG
rnacentral:rRNA from 1 species